GAUGGUAUCAAAGUUUAAGUUUUUCAUAAGAAACAAACCUUCUAUAAAUUACACGUGACAUCCUGAAAAGGGCGUUACAAGUGGGAAUAAAGAAACAAAGGUUGUUAAGGGUGUUGAUGGUGGUGGGAAUGAAGAGGUUUUUAAGGCUGGUGGGGUGAAGAAGAGGUUGUUCAUGGGUUUGAAGUGGAUACUAGCUCCCAUUGAAAUAUUAAAGAUGUUUUAAAGUUGUGGAAAAAAUGUAGUAACAAAGGAAAAAGUUAGUAAAGAUGUUGGUGUUGGUUCCUUUGAGACAAAUGUUGGUGUUCGUAACCAUGUCAUGGAUGAAAAU
rnacentral:lncRNA from 1 species